GUGGGGAAUAUUGGACAAUGGGCGAAAGCCUGAUCCAGCCAUGCCGCGUGUGUGAAGAAGGUCUUCGGAUUGUAAAGCACUUUAAGUUGGGAGGAAGGGCAGUAAGUUAAUACCUUGCUGUUUUGACGUUACCGACAGAAUAAGCACCGGCUAACUUCGUGCCAGCAGCCGCGGUAAUACGAAGGGUGCAAGCGUUAAUCGGAAUUACUGGGCGUAAAGCGCGCGUAGGUGGUUUUGUAAGUUGGAGAUGAAAUCCCCGGGCUCAACCUGGGAACUGCCUCCAAAACUGCAUGACUAGAGUACGGUAGAGGGUAGUGGAAUUUCCUGUGUAGCGGUGAAAUGCGUAGAUAUAGGAAGGAACACCAGUGGCGAAGGCGACUACCUGGACUGAUACUGACACUGAGGUGCGAAAGCGUGGGGAGCAAACAGGAUUAGAAACCCGUGUAGUCC
rnacentral:rRNA from 1 species